CCUGCCCUGAGUGGGGAAUAACUACCGGAACCGGUGGCUAAUACCGCAUGAAGACCAGGGAUCGCAUGAUCUUUGGUUGAAAGACUUCGGUUGCUCAAGGAUGGGCCUGCGGCGGAUUAGCUUGUUGGUGAGGUAAAGGCUCACCAAGGUACGAUCCGUAGCUGGUCUGAGAGGAUGAUCAGCCACACUGGCAUUGAGACACGGGCCAGACUCCUCCGGGAGCAGCAGUGAGGAAUCUUGCGCAAUGGAGGAAACUCUGACGCAGCGACGUCGCGUGGGGGAUGAAGGCCUUUGGGCUGUAAACCCCUUUUCCAAGGGAAGAGAAAGGACGGUACCUUGGGAAUAAGCUCCGGCUAACUACGUGCCAGCAGCCGCGGUAAUACGUAGGGAGCGAGCGUUACCCGGAAUCACUGGGCGUAAAGAGCGCGUAGGCGGCUGGAUAAGUCUUUUGUGAAAGCUCCCGGCUUAACUGGGAGAGGUCAAGGGAUACUAUUCGGCUCGAGGGCAGUAGAGGAAGGCGGAAUUCCCGGUGUAGCGGUGAUAUGCGUAGAUAUCGGGAGGAACACCAGUGGCGAAAGCGGCCUUCUGGGCUGUGCCUGACGCCGAGGCGCGAGAGCGUGGGGAGCAAACUGGAUUAGAUACCCUGGUAGUC
rnacentral:rRNA from 1 species